rnacentral:rRNA from 1 species
AUUGAACGCUGGCGGCAUGCUUUACACAUGCAAGUCGAACGGUAACAGGCCUUCGGGUGCUGACGAGUGGCGCACGGGUGCGUAAUGCAUCGGAACGUGCCCAGAGGUGGGGGAUAACGCAGCGAAAGCUGUGCUAAUACCGCAUGUGAUCUGAGGAUGAAAGCGGGGGACCAGGCAGCAAUGUUUGGCCUCGCGCCUUUGGAGCGGCCGAUGUCAGAUUAGGUAGUUGGUGGGGUAAAGGCCUACCAAGCCGACGAUCUGUAGCUGGUCUGAGAGGACGACCAGCCACACUGGGACUGAGACACGGCCCAGACUCCUACGGGGGCAGCAGUGGGGAAUUUUGGACAAUGGGCGCAAGCCUGAUCCAGCAAUGCCGCGUGCGGGAAGAAGGCCUUCGGGUUGUAAACCGCUUUUGUACGGAACGAAAAGGCUCUGGCUAAUACCUGGGGCUGAUGACGGUACCGGAAGAAUAAGCACCGGCUAACUACGUG